rnacentral:rRNA from 1 species
CAGUAGCCGCGGGAAUACGGAGGGUGCAAGCGUUAAUCGGAAUUACUGGGCGUAAAGCGCACGUAGGUGGUUUGUUAAGUUGGAUGUGAAAUCCCCGGGCUCAACCUGGGAACUGCAUCUGAAACUGGCAAGCUAGAGUAUUGUAGAGGGGGGUGGAAUUUCAGGUGUAGCGGUGAAAUGCGUAGAGAUAGGAAGGAAUACCAGUGGCGAAGGCGACCACCUGGACUGAUACUGACACUGAGGUGCGAAAGCGUGGGGAGCAAACAGGAUUAGAUACCCCGGUAGUCCCUGUCUCUUAUAC